AGGGCCCGAUGUGGGACUUGAACCUACCAACCGUGCGAUCACGACCUGAGCCUGAGUGGGUUGUGAGAUCACGACCCGAGCCUGAGCCACCCAGGCGCCCCUGUUGGCUUGCAUUUGAAUGUUAGCUAAUUUGACAAUAAAUUAUAUAAAAAAAAAUAAAUGAAUAAAAAUAAAAUAAAAUUUAAAAAAGAAAAAAACAAGAAAAAAGAAAGGCACUAACAAUUGUCCUACCCUGGAAGGAACAGUCCUUCCAGAUUUAGUCAGUGAGGCCCAGAUGUUAAAGCAUCAAAAUACAGAAAACAGGGGCACCUGGAUGGCUCAGUUGGUUAAGCAUCCAGCUUCAGUUCAGGUCAUGAUCUCACGGUUCGUGAGCUCCAGCCCCGCAUCGGGCUCUCUGCUGUCAGCACAGAGCCUGCUUCAGAUCCUCUGUCCCCCUCUCUUCUGCCCUUCCCCCACUCAUUCUCAAAAGACGUCAAUGCGGUUGGUUGUGCAAGGGGAAGACUGCUGUGGGGGUUGGAGAGACUACUGCUCUGGGAGUAAGGCUCAGAAGGGAGAGGGGACAGUUGUCUGCUGCUACUCCCCCACUGGUGGUCUGGAACAGCAGCAGCCAUCCUGUGACCAUGAGGUCACAAGUGUCAGGAGGAACGGUGAAUGCCCAAGACAGGACGGCCGCGCUAAGCGCCUUCUAGGAGCCCCUGGAGACCCCCUGGGGAAUUUGCGCUGUGACAGAUGGUCUCAUUGAUGGGCGCACUUCAUCACUGUAUCGAAUAGCGGAUCGACUCACCUAUUAGUCACGUGAUAUCAAGGGACUCAAACUUCAC
rnacentral:lncRNA from 1 species